GACGAACGCUGGCGGCGUGCCUAAUACAUGCAAGUAGAACGCAGUUGCGAACGGGUGAGUAACGCGUAGGUAACCUGCCUCAUAGCGGGGGUUAACUAUUGGAAACGAUAGCUAAUACCGCAUACUGUGCGAUGGACCUGCGUUGUAUUAGCUAGUUGGUGAGGUAAAGGCUCACCAAGGCGACGAUACAUAGCCGACCUGUGAGGGUGAUCGGCCACACUGGGACUGUGACACGGCCCAGACUCCUACGGGAGGCAGCAGUGGGGAAUAUUGCACAAUGGGCGAAAGCCGGAUGCAGCCAUGCCGCGUGUAUGAAGAAGGCCUUCGGGUUGUAAAGUACUUUCAGCGGGGAGGCGUUACCCGCAGAAGAAGCACCGGCUAAGUAAGGGCCAGCAGCCGCGGUAAUAC
rnacentral:rRNA from 1 species